rnacentral:tRNA from 1 species
GCACCUUUAUCUCAACCGCAGAGCAACGGACUUUUAAUCCGUAGGUUCCGGGUUCGAGUCCCGGGGGGCGUACCA